rfam:Ictidomys tridecemlineatus contig017816, whole genome shotgun sequence.
AAGAUUAUGCCUGCAGGGAUCAUAUCUAGAGUUCAUUCCUGGAGAAGUUUCUCUGAUCUUGAAGUGUUCUGGAAACCACGAAGAAGGAGCCCAGAGUUUCCUACCAAGGGUGAAAGCAGCUCUUGGUGUUGCUUUACUACAAUUGUCUUUUUGCCAUUGAUGAUUAUUCUUUCCCCUUCUUCAGGAGGGUGAUAAGGGGAAAAUGCAGCCUGAAAGCU